CAGCCGCCGCGGUAACACCGGCGGCCCGAGUGGUGAUCGUGAUUAUUGGGUCUAAAGGGUCCGUAGCCGGUUUGGUCAGUCCUCCGGGAAAUCUGAUAGCUUAACUAUUAGGCUUUCGGGGGAUACUGCCAGACUUGGAACCGGGAGAGGUAAGAGGUACUACAGGGGUAGGAGUGAAAUCUUGUAAUCCCUGUGGGACCACCUGUGGCGAAGGCGUCUUACCAGAACGGGUUCGACGGUGAGGGACGAAAGCUGGGGGCACGAACCGGAUUAGAUACCCGGGUAGUCCCAGCCGUAAACGAUGCUCGCUAGGUGUCAGGCAUGGCGCGACCGUGUCUGGUGCCGCAGGGAAGCCGUGAAGCGAGCCACCUGGGAAGUACGGCCGCAAGGCUGAAACUUAAAGGAAUUGGCGGGGGAGCACAACAACGGGUGGAGCCUGCGGUUUAAUUGGACUCAACGCCGGACAACUCACCGGGGACGACAGCAAUAUGUAGGUCAGGCUGAAGACCUUACCUGAAUCGCUGAGAGGAGGUGCAUGGCCGUCGCCAGUUCGUACUGUGAAGCAUCCUGUUAAGUCAGGCAACGAGCGAGACCCA
rnacentral:rRNA from 1 species